rnacentral:rRNA from 1 species
CCCUUAGAUGUUCUGGGCCGCACGCGCGCUACACUGACGAUGGCAACGAGUUUUUCCUUCGCCGAAAGGUGUGGGUAAUCUUUUGAAACAUCGUCGUGCUGGGGAUAGAUCAUUGCCAUUUUUGAUCUUGAACGAGGAAUUCCUAGUAAGCGCGAGUCAUCAGCUCGCGUUGAUUACGUCCCUGCCCUUUGUACACACCGCCCGUCGCUACUACCGAUUGAAUGGUUUAGUGAGGACUCCUGAUUGGCGCCGCCGCCCCGGCAACGGAGCAGCGGACUGCCGAAAAGUUGUUCAAACUUGAUCAUUUAGAGGAAGUAAAAGUCGUAACA